GAUGAACGCUGGCGGCGUGCCUAACACAUGCAAGUCGAACGGCAGCACGGACUUCGGUCUGGUGGCGAGUGGCGAACGGGUGAGUAACAUAUCGGAACGUAUCCAAUAAUGGGGGAUAACUAAUCGAAAGGUUGGCUAAUACCGCAUACGCCCUGAGGGGGAAAGCUAGGGAUCUUCGGACCUGGCGUUAAUGGAGCGGCCGAUAUCUGAUUAGCUAGUUGGUGGGGUAAAGGCCCACCAAGGCGACGAUCAGUAGCUGGUCUGAGAGGACGACCAGCCACACUGGAACUGAGACACGGUCCAGACUCCUACGGGAGGCAGCAGUGGGGAAUUUUGGACAAUGGGCGCAAGCCUGAUCCAGCCAUUCCGCGUGAGUGAAGAAGGCCUUCGGGUUGUAAAGCUCUUUCGCAAGGGAAGAAAACUUAUCCUCUAACAUAGGAUGAGGUUGACGGUACCUUGAUAAGAAGCACCGGCUAACUACGUG
rnacentral:rRNA from 1 species